rnacentral:rRNA from 1 species
UGGGGAAUUUUGGACAAUGGGCGCAAGCCUGAUCCAGCCAUGCCGCGUGAGUGAAGAAGGCCUUCGGGUUGUAAAGCUCUUUCGGCGGGGAAGAAAUUGCACUCUCUAAUACAGGGUGUAGAUGACGGUACCCGCAUAAGAAGCACCGGCUAACUACGUGCCAGCAGCCGCGGUAAUACGUAGGGUGCGAGCGUUAAUCGGAAUUACUGGGCGUAAAGCGUGCGCAGGUGGUUGUGUAAGUCAGAUGUGAAAUCCCCGGGGCUCAACCUGGGAACUGCAUUUGAGACUGCACGGCUAGAGGAUGGCAGAGGGGGGUUAGAAUUCCACGUGUAGCAGUGAAAUGCGUAGAGAUGUGAGGAAUACCGAUGGCGAAGGCAGCCCCCGUGGGCUAUUUCUGAC